CAACCAACAAUUCUUGUCGUGGGAGUAACAUGUUGAUGAUUAACUAGCCUCAUUAGCAUAUUAGAAUGGAAAACUUACUCUAGUGGAGUGCCUUGCAGUAGCAACACUGCAAGUGCUUUAAUCUAUAUCAUUUCUCUGACUGAUUGCAUCAGUCUUUUUUCUGUUAAGAAGACGUGUGUGUUCUUCCUUUAUCUUGUAACUGAAGUAAAUAGGGUAACGUAGAUACUUGUUGUUAUGGCUCAGAAGCUUGCAUGGCCCAUCAAUGGCUAUAGUGGGUACUAGUGGUCAUGAGGUUCUUGCUUGAGAGCACUUGCAAUAUUCUUCAACUUUAGAAAAGUCUGGUGAGGGAACAUGAGAAAUUCAUAAGAGACAUAAGGAGGAAAACAAGGAGAUGAUGGCAUCCUUUUAUGCAGAUCAUCCUUUCAUGAUAUAUAUGGGAUUACUCCUAACAUGAUAUAUGGGAUUACUCCUAAUACAUCACCUAAUACGAAUCUCUGUUAUUCAACCUUCAACAUUACAGACACAUACAAAACAAAACGUAAACAGGUUUAUGUGAACAAGUUCCUUGAAGUUUUGCUUGAGAAAACAAAAUGUUGGGAUUCGUUUGUUCUCCUUCAUAGGAGCAACAAGUACACUACCAAAUAAACAGGGUUAACCAGAGCAGUUUUAAAACAGCAAAUCUCUCUGCCUAGCAGAAUCUCCAGGCCAUACAAGCCGCCCAGCUGGUUUUGAAUCUGUUACAUAUUAUCAUGCGUUUUGAGACUUUCAAACAAAAGAAUUUUAACAGUUUAACUAUUGAUUUGGUUGGGGUGCGCCGGGCCAGGGCAGCAGUGCA
rnacentral:lncRNA from 1 species